UGGGAUGGCUACCAGAUUAGUAUGAUCCUGGCUCGGUGAUGCAUAGCUUGCUCUGAGGAUCAGUGGCGAACGGGUGAGUAACACGUGAGCAACCUGCCCUUGACUCUGGGAUAAGCGCUGGAAACGGCGUCUAAUACCGGAUAUGAGCUGCGAUCGCAUGGUCAGCAGUUGGAAAGAUUUUUCGGUCUGGGAUGGGCUCACGGCCUAUCAGCUUGUUGGUGAGGUAAUGGCUCACCAAGGCGUCGACGGGUAGCCGGCCUGAGAGGGUGACCGGCCACACUGGGACUGAGACACGGCCCAGACUCCUACGGGAGGCAGCAGUGGGGAAUAUUGCACAAUGGGCGAAAGCCUGAUGCAGCAACGCCGCGUGAGGGAUGACGGCCUUCGGGUUGUAAACCUCUUUUAGCAGGGAAGAAGCGAAAGUGACGGUACCUGCAGAAAAAGCGCCGGCUAACUACGUGCCAGCAGCCGCGGUAAUACGUAGGGCGCAAGCGUUAUCCGGAAUUAUUGGGCGUAAAGAGCUCGUAGGCGGUUUGUCGCGUCUGCUGUGAAAUCCCGAGGCUCAACCUCGGGUCUGCAGUGGGUACGGGCAGACUAGAGUGCGGUAGGGGAGAUUGGAAUUCCUGGUGUAGCGGUGGAAUGCGCAGAUAUCAGGAGGAACACCGAUGGCGAAGGCAGAUCUCUGGGCCGUUACUGACGCUGAGGAGCGAAAGGGUGGGGAGCAAACAGGCUUAGAUACCCUGGUAGUCCACCCCGUAAACGUUGGGAACUAGUUGUGGGGUCCAUUCCACGGAUUCCGUGACGCAGCUAACGCAUUAAGUUCCCCGCCUGGGGAGUACGGCCGCAAGGCUAAAACUCAAGGAAUUGACGGGGACCCGCACAAGCGGCGGAGCAUGCUGAUUAUUUCGAUGCAACGCGAAGAAUCUUUACCCAGGGCUUGACAUAUACGAGACGCGCCAGAGAUGGUUCAACUCUUUGGACAACUCGUAAACAGGUGGUGCAUGUUGUCGUCAGCUCGUGUCGUGAGAUGUGGAUAGUCCGCAACGAGCGCAACCCUCGUUCUAAUGUUGCAGCACGGUAUGGUGCAAACUCAUGGCAACUGCUGGUCACUCGAGUUGGUGGAUGACGUCCAAUCUAUCAUGCCUUAGGUCCUGCUCACGCAUGCUCAAAUGCGGUAGACAAGGCUGCAAUACCGAAGGGGUGGACCCAAUUC
rnacentral:rRNA from 1 species